rnacentral:lncRNA from 12 species
GGGGGGGGGGGGGGGGGGGGGGGGGGGGGGGGGGGGGGGGGGGGGGGGGGGGGGGGGGGGGGGGGGGGGGGGGGGGGGGGGGGGGGGCCCCGCGGCGCCCCUUGCCCGCCGGGGCAGCAGCGCAGCGCCCCGGCCGGAGCGCCGCCUGAGCCGGGCCCUCAGCACCGCGGCCCAGCCCGGCCUGCGGAGGAGCGGGAACUCCGGCCCCCAGGUCACCUCACAGCCCCGCCGCCAGACGAGCGCCUUUCCACUCCAGCAGCGCCCCUGAAUGCGCUAAUUAGCCCCCCGAGCCCGGUGCUGGGAAGGGCCGCACCGCUCAUAUGACCGCCACGAGGGGCUUCGGGGAGCGUCCGUGCCCCGCUCCUGCCCGCAGCUUCCAAGGGUAAGAGCUUCCAGCUUGGGCUGCUUUCUCACCUGCACCCCCCCACAUACACCCCCCAAGCCCCAGAGGCCUGCACUGCACCCCAGGACCCUGAGAACAACUGCAAAGAGCCAGGAGGCCCCAUACAGAAACCCAACAACCCUAGCGAGAAUGUAAUUGCCUCCAAAGCCAGCAGUGCUGGCAGAGAAGCUGCCUCCAGUACAGCCUUUCCACAAUCACACGCGUCACCCAGGUGCACAACAUCUUUUGCAAGGGCCCAAGGGACUCAACAGCUCUGUAAGGCCCUAAGAGAAGGGAAAUUGCUAUCAGAGACUCCUGUCGACUACACAGCCCACCAAGGAGGCUGCUGGCUUCUACAGGCCAUCCCCCAUCUGUUGGAAUAGCAGGAAGUUUAACGUUAGCAAUAAAAAAUAAAAAAUGCUGGAGUCCAACUGGUGACUGAAGACUGGUGCCAGGCUCUGCUGCAGAGACAUCACAGCUGCUUACAGUGCCUGCUCGGAAAGAGGUGCUCAUUAAACAUUUGCCUUAGGUUUGUUUUCCCUGCUUGCUGAAAGCAAACAUUCACAACAAAGAUCUAUGACAGAGGGCUGCAAAUCAAAAGUUUGAUUUAAUAAAAACAAAU